GAAUUCACUAGUGAUUGUAGUCAUAUGGUUGUCUCAAAGAUUAAGCCAUGCAUGUCUAAGUAUAAGCAAUUUAUACAGUGAAACUGCGAAUGGCUCAUUAAAUCAGUUAUCGUUUAUUUGAUAGUUCCUUUACUACAUGGUAUAACUGUGGUAAUUCUAGAGCUAAUACAUGCUUAAAAUCUCGACCCUUUGGAAGAGAUGUAUUUAUUAGAUAAAAAAUCAAUGUCUUCGGACUCUUUGAUGAUUCAUAAUAACUUUUCGAAUCGCAUGGCCUUGUGCUGGCGAUGGUUCAUUCAAAUUUCUGCCCUAUCAACUUUCGAUGGUAGGAUAGUGGCCUACCAUGGUUUCAACGGGUAACGGGGAAUAAGGGUUCGAUUCCGGAGAGGGAGCCUGAGAAACGGCUACCACAUCCAAGGAAGGCAGCAGGCGCGCAAAUUACCCAAUCCUAAUUCAGGGAGGUAGUGACAAUAAAUAACGAUACAGGGCCCAUUCGGGUCUUGUAAUUGGAAUGAGUACAAUGUAAAUACCUUAACGAGGAACAAUUGGAGGGCAGGUCUGGUGCCAGCAGCCGCGGUAAUUCCAGCUCCAAUAGCGUAUAUUAAAGUUGUUGCAGUUAAAAAGCUCGUAGUUGAACUUUGGGCCCGGUUGGCCGGUCCGAUUUUUUCGUGUACUGGAUUUCCAACGGGGCCUUUCCUUCUGGCUAACCUUGAGUCCUUGUGGCUCUUGGCGAACCAGGACUUUUACUUUGAAAAAAUUAGAGUGUUCAAAGCAGGCGUAUUGCUCGAAUAUAUUAGCAUGGAAUAAUAGAAUAGGACGUUUGGUUCUAUUUUGUUGGUUUCUAGGACCAUCGUAAUGAUUAAUAGGGACGGUCGGG
rnacentral:rRNA from 1 species